GAGAGGUGCUGCAUGGCUGUCGUCAGCUCGUGUUGUGAAAUGUUGGGUUAAGUCUCGCAACGAGCGCAACCCCUAUCGUCUGUUGCCAGCAUUAAGUUGGGCACUCUGACGAGACUGCCUGGGUUAACCAGGAGGAAGGUGGGGAUGACGUCAAGUCCUCAUGGCCCUUAUGUCUAGGGCUACACACGUAAUACAAUGGCGCGUACAAAGGGAAGCGAACCUGCGAAGGGGUGCAAAUCUCAGAAAGCGCGUCUCAGUCCGGAUUGGAGUCUGCAACUCGACUCCAUGAAGUUGGAAUCGCUAGUA
rnacentral:rRNA from 1 species